rnacentral:rRNA from 1 species
CACGUAGGGUGCGAGCGUUGUCCGGAAUUAUUGGGCGUAAAGAGCUCGUAGGCGGUGUGUCGCGUCGGCCGUGAAAACCUGCAGCUUAACUGUGGGCUUGCGGUCGAUACGGGCAUCACUGGAGUUCGGCAGGGGAGACUGGAAUUCCUGGUGUAGCGGUGAAAUGCGUAGGAUAUCUGGAGGAACACCGGUGGCGAAGGCGGCAAUCCUCGGGCCAACACUGACGCUGAGGAGCGAAAAGCCAGGGGGAGCAA